AUCUUGGAGAGUUUGAUCCUGGCUCAGGACGAACGCUGGCGGCGUGCUUAACACAUGCAAGUCGAACGGAAAUUAUAGGAAGCUUGCUUCUU
rnacentral:rRNA from 1 species